rnacentral:sRNA from 1 species
UUGACAAAUAUUAAUCUGAAGUCCUCUCUCUAUCUACACAAUGGUACAGGCGUCGCAAGAGCACUGCAAGCUUUCAUAUGCUGCCCCAUCAGUGUACCUCAACUCUGACCUGGACAGACCACUAGUGAUGGGACAGUAAGUCAGUUUUGAUCCCUAUUUAGUCCUUGGCCUCU